rnacentral:rRNA from 1 species
CACGUAGGGGGCAAGCGUUGUCCGGAUUUAUUGGGCGUAAAGCGCGUGUAGGCGGCCAGGUAGGUCCGCUGUGAAAACCCGAGGCUCAACCUCGGGACGUCGGCGGAAACCAUUUGGCUAGAGUCCGGAAGAGGAGAGUGGAAUUCCCGGUGUAGCGGUGAAAUGCGCAGAUAUCGGGAAGAACACCCGUGGCGAAGGCGGCUCUCUGGGACGGUACUGACGCUGAGACGCGAAAGCGUGGGGAGCGAACAGG